ensembl:lncRNA
CUGAAUGGUGCAGUUUCAGAACGCCGUGGACCACUUUGGUCUGCCAUCGUCAGUCGCUACUCGCUACUGUCUGCCGUGGAAUCAAAACAAACCCUCUAGUUGAGGACGCGCCUUGAUGACGCGGGCCCGAAUGCGCCACAAGAAGCAGACGGAAAACCUUAUAUAUCCAUGCAGCAAACAGACAGGUCUGUCGGCCAAUAAGGUCAUUCGGUCCGAAGAAUUUUAUUGGUUGAAGUUUUCACUAAAUAUUAUGAGAGUAAAAUAAUUGUUUGUUUUUACUCCUGGUUGGUCUGUCUUGCAUAUUAGAGUGUUAUUACCUUAUUAAUACCAAUUUAACCUUAUCCAAAAAAAGUGUAAAAAUGCAACAAAGGUAAGAGUCCCUUUAAGUCAUGCUUAUCGACUUUGGAGAAUUGAUGGGGAUGUUCUUUUAAUUGUUAUUCAAGCAAUGUAUGUCUCGUGACAGUUGCCAACUUACCAUGAACACACUUGCGCACAUGAACAACACCGAAGAUCACCGUCGAUCUCCGUCAUUCACUCUGCCUACCUCUGGCUGAAUCAGCGGGUUUGGGCGUUAGAGCGCCCUCUGGUGGACAGACUUUUUUUUUAUAUUCAUUUAUCGGCCAUUAUAAAUGCCGAUACCGAAUAGUUUGAAAAAUGCCUAAUAUCGGCCGAUAAUAUCGGCCUGCCGAUAUAUCGGUCGGGCUCUAGUAUGGACCACAGCCUGGCCUGUGAAGCCUGGGAGAUGAUGACCUAAAUGACAUGCAUUUUGCUUGACCAAUUAUCUACCACCACUAAUCCUAUAGAUUAAAUUGAUAUAGCGCUUUUAUAGAAGACUUAAUGAAAGUAAAAAAAGGCAGAAAUCCAUAAAAAAGACGCAGGAGAAUAUUCAAUAGUCUACAAAUAGCAGAAAGCAGGACAGAGGGAGGGGGAGGGUGAGACAUUAAACGGUAGAAAACAAAAGGGUUAGUUUUGAAUGAUGCUUUGAACUAGAGUUGAGAGGCAGGGUCUCCGAUCUGUCUGCGCAGAGAACUCCAGCAGCAGGGGGGCUGCAAUGUCUUUUUUUAACGUUGUCUCUUUUCCCCAGAUGGCAGAUGGACAGAUCAUCCAGUAUGAACACGACGGGUCGUUUCUGCAGGAACAGAUUGCAGUGAGUCAUGACGGUCAGAUCCAGUACUUGCCUAUCAGCUCCAAGCAGCAGAUCGUCAUCCCAGAAGAGCUGGAGGCUGCGGCCCAUUCUGCCAUCACAGUGGCGGAUGCAGCAGCCAUGGUCGAGUCCCAGACGGUGUACACAACAGAGGCCACGGCCGAACAGCUGGAGCAGCUCCAGCAGCAAGGCAUCCACUACGACGUCAUCACCAUCACCGAGGCCCAGCCGUGAGGACCAUUCAGACACGACCAGAGGAACACCGACAGAUCUCACGUUUCGAUCGUCCGUUUAAGCUUCCUGGGAUUGUCACAUAGAGGGUUUGGGUGGGAUUGAAUUGCACUGUUAAAAAAAGAUAAAUGGCUUUUGUACAUUUAGAAUUGAGGAACAAUCUUUUUUUAUUUAAAUCGUAGGAACUCUUCAUUUAGGAUGCACGUCAAGCAAGAUAGGCCUGCUGUGUAAAUAUUUAAACGGAUCCACGUGCCUCGAAUGCUUUGAUUUGCAAAUCAAUUUUGGAUAAGAGAUCUUUUAUGUUAUUGAGAAUGUACUGAACUUUUCAGUUACAAACAGUAACAUGCACGCAGAGUGUUUAUUUUUGAUCUGUAAAAAAAGGAUACAAUUUGGCUGAUGAUUAGCUUUGUGGCAACUGCUUAUGGGUAAUUUGUACAUACUGUUCUAAGUCUCUUUCAUGAUGGGUGGGGGAAAACAUUCAUUGCUGAAUGAAAUCAAACUGUUUACUAGGUCAUGGGGGAAGAAAACAAAUAAAGAGCCACAAUAAAGUUUUAAAGAUAAUGUUUAACAAUUUGUUCGUUUAAUUUGACCUUGUAGAGAAUUGAUGGAUAAUCUUUUUCUAAAUGUUUGAUAUUUUUCAAUGUUAAUAGCUCACUGAAUCCCAUCAAUCAUUCAAACCUUAAAG